ACAAUUUAAAAGUAAAACAUAUGCUAUUUUUGUCUCACUUCAACAAAGUGGAAAAAGUAAAACUUGACAAGCUGUUUUACAUCAGCUGUGACAGCUUAGUCUCAACAAUGUAUUAGUUUGUGAUUUGGUCAUUUCAAGGUCAAUGAUAUGAGGUAGAAUUUGUAUAAGCAUUUGUACAUCUGAAUUGCAUAGAGAUUAUUUGGCCCUCCCCCUCAGCCAUUGUUUAUUGACUUUGAAAGUUUUGCAUAGUUGACAUGUUAAAACUGCUGAUUAAGUUAGUUUAAGAUGAAUCACUCAUUGAAGGUCAAUAGUAAUUGGUCUUCAGUUGUUUUAGCAUUUGUAUAUCUUAUUUCCAUGGAAAUUAUAUGACCCCACUCCCUCAUCAUGGUUCAUU
rnacentral:lncRNA from 1 species